CCUUAUUGAUCACACAUUUUAUUAUUACACAUUUUAUUAUUAUAUUGUAUAGGUUGCUCUCUUGAUCAAGCUAAAUGAUAUACAUGGAAGUCACAGCCCAAGAACUCAAAGUCACAACACACAACAUUACAAUGAUCCUAAGUAUUUUAAUUACUCUUCAUGUCCCGUUAAAAACGAUCACAUUCUUUUUGGCACGGAGAUUAAAAAGGGGAUUGUUAUGUUUUAAUUAAGUGUGAUCCACCAAAAUUAAAGAGUUAAUUAAAGUGUGGUCUCCUCUUCUCUCUCAACUCUCUCUCUCUCUCUCUCUCUAUCUUCCUCAUCGUGUCCAGUCGCGGCCACCUCCCCUCCGGCGAAUCCGCCGACGUUUCGCCUUUGGUCUCUCAACCCAUCUCUAUCUCUCACUUUCCCUCUCUAUUCAAUGCACACUCACUCACUCGCAAAUCAAACCCUUCUCCCUCUCUCUAUCUCCUCUUUGCGCCGCCUUCAUCUUCGGCGAGAUGCCGCCGGCUAGCUCCAUCUUUUUCAGCCCGGCGUUACGUCUCAUCACCUCUCUCUUGCUUGCGCGACUCGUCAACGCCAACAGCAGCGCAUCCGAGGUAGCAACGCCGCUGCCGUCGCUUCCAUUAAACUGCCAAGUUUCUCCCUUGACAAAAACAACAACCCAACAUUAAACCCCCAAAUAGCCGCCUCAAAGCCCUAGCCCCAAACCACCGCCGACCACCCUCAGAUCUAGCCGUUGACGCUGCUGCACGCCGCCGAGAGAGGCCAAGGUUCAGAAUCUAAAGUCCUGAGAGGCGACUGUUUUCCGCCAGAGGAGACGAAGCCAGUAGCCUCACCGCUGUUGUGCAAUCGAAAGUGAGAAAGAGAGGGAAGAAAGAGGGGAGAAAGAUGGAGGUCUAGAGAGAGAGAGAUGUAAGGAGAGGGGAGAUGGAGGCGGCAGACGCCGGCCCUGUCGGGCGGCGCCACCGUCGACGGCGACGACAGAGUGCCAAGAGAGAGAAUAGUGUGUGAGUGUGUGCGGC
rnacentral:lncRNA from 1 species